rnacentral:tRNA from 1 species
GCGGGAGUGGCGGAAUUGGUAGACGCGCUGGAUUUAGGUUCCAGUGCCGCAAGGCGUGAGAGUUCGAGUCUCUCCUUCCGCA